rnacentral:rRNA from 1 species
UGGGGAAUUUUGCACAAUGGGGGGAACCUUGAUGCAGCGACGCCGCGUGAGGGAUGGAGGCCUUCGGGUUGUGAACCUCUUUCGCUCGUGUGCAAGCCGCUAUUUGGGUAGUGGUGAGUGUAGCGGGUAAAGAAGCGCCGGCUAACUACGUGCCAGCAGCCGCGGUAAUACGUAGGGCGCGAGCGUUGUCCGGAUUUAUUGGGCGUAAAGGGCUUGUAGGCGGUUUGUCGCGCCUGUCGUGUAAUCCUCUGGCUUAACUGGGGGUGUGCGGUGGGUACGGGCAGGCUUGAGUGCGGUAGGGGAGAGUGGAAUUCCUGGUGUAGCGGUGGAAUGCGCAGAUAUCAGGAGGAACACCGGUGGCGAAGGCGGGUCUCUGGGCCGUCACUGACGCUGAGGAGCGAAAGCGUGGGGAGCGAACAGG